rnacentral:rRNA from 1 species
GACGAACGCUGGCGGCGUGCUUAACACAUGCAAGUCGUACGGUAAGGCCCUUUCUGGGGUACACACGUGGCGAACGGGUGAGUAACACGCGAGUAACCUGCCCACCCCUUAGGGAUAACGCAAGGAAACUGGCGCUAAUACUGGAUAUGUGCCACUGCUUCCUGGUGGGGGUUGGUAAGAUACGGCGGUUGUGGGUGGACUCGCGGCCUUUCAGCUUGUUGGUGGGGUAGGGGGCUACCAACGCGGCCACGGGUAGGCGGCCUGAGAGGGUGACCGGCCACAUUGGGACCUAGAUACGGCCCAGACGCCUAAGGGAGGCAGCAGGGGGGAAUAUUGCACAAUGGGCGCAAGCCUGAUGCAGCAACGCCGCGUGCGGGAUGACGGCCUUCGGGUUGUAAACCGCUUUCAGCAGGGACGAAGCUUUGUGUGACGGUACCUGCAGAAGAAGCACCGGCUAACUACGUG